rnacentral:lncRNA from 1 species
UUCAUUUGUGUUAUUCUUUUUGUAAUCUGGAAAGCAGCAGACUGAUGAUGCUGUCAGUGCUAGAAAGACUUCCAGGCAAUUAGGUUGGCUGAAAGAGAAAGUGAUGGAGCUGGUAAAGGCUUUUAUACUUUGAUGUUCGUCAAAGCUCUGUAGAGAAUGAUAAGACAUCAGCUAGACCUUUUAACAUUGCUCUGGAGAUGCUGUAGGAGAGCCACCAUUGCCAGCUGUACGUUCACACUGAUUUGGCAGUCUUUAGAUGCUUUCAGUACCCUGGCAAAGCUUUUCUGGUGUUUCUGGAGGAUACGCAUCAUAAUGACAGGAAAAUAAGCCAGAACAAUUUAAGGAUCCGGGUAUAUAAUAAUAACCCAGAAAUGAAUCAGAGUCAAGGCAGACACCUUUUUAUCAGUGGACCAGCUCUUCUCCAGCAAAAUUAUCCAGUCAGGUUUGAAUAUUAGAGUAGUUCUCUCUUUACUCUUUUUCUGUGGUUUCCUUAUGGGGAUGUCAUAUAAGAU